GAUCCUGGCUCAGGAUGAACGCUAGCUACAGGCUUAACACAUGCAAGUCGAGGGGCAGCACAAGGCAGCAAUGCUGAGGUGGCGACCGGCGCACGGGUGCGUAACGCGUAUCCAACCUUCCCGUUACUCCGGGAUAGCCUUCCGAAAGGGAGAUUAAUACCGGAUGGUGUUCAAUUGGUGCAUAUUAUUUGAACUAAAGAUUUAUCGGUAGCGGAUGGGGAUGCGUACCAUUAGAUAGUAGGCGGGGUAACGGCCCACCUAGUCCACGAUGGUUAGGGGUUCUGAGAGGAAGGUCCCCCACACUGGAACUGAGACACGGUCCAGACUCCUACGGGAGGCAGCAGUGAGGAAUAUUGGUCAAUGGCCGUAAGGCUGAACCAGCCAAGUAGCGUGAAGGAUGAAGGUUCUAUGGAUUGUAAACUUCUUUUAUACGGGAAUAACACCAUCUACGUGUAGAUGUCUGCAUGUACCGUAUGAAUAAGCAUCGGCUAACUCCGUG
rnacentral:rRNA from 1 species